UACGUAGGGGGCUAGCGUUGUCCGGAAUCAUUUGGGCGUAAAGCGCGUGUAGGCGGCCCGGUAAGUCCGCUGUGAAAGUCGAGGGCUCAACCCUCGAAUGCCGGUGGAUACUGUCGGGCUAGAGUACGGAAGAGGCGAGUGGAAUUCCUGGUGUAGCGGUGAAAUGCGCAGAUAUCAGGAGGAACACCCAUUGCGAAGGCAGCUCGCUGGGACGUUACUGACGCUGAGACGCGAAAGCGUGGGGAGCAAACAGGG
rnacentral:rRNA from 1 species